rnacentral:rRNA from 1 species
UACAGAGGUCUCAAGCGUUGUUCGGAUUCAUUGGGCGUAAAGGGUGCGUAGGCGGCGCGGUAAGUCGGGUGUGAAAUCUCGGAGCUUAACUCCGAAACUGCAUUCGAUACUGCCGUGCUUGAGGACUGGAGAGGAGACUGGAAUUUACGGUGUAGCGGUGAAAUGCGUAGAUAUCGUAAGGAAGACCAGUAGCGAAGGCGGUACUCUGGGCCGGAACUGACGCUGAGGAGCGAAAGCGUGGGGAGCGAACAGG